rnacentral:SRP_RNA from 1 species
GCUGGGCAUGGUGGUGCAAGCCUGUGAUCUGUGCUACUGAGCAAGCUGAUGGUUUGAGCUCAGUUUUAAGCUACAGUAGGGCCAAAGUCUAACAGAUGUCCUCACUAAGUCUGGCACCAGUGUGGUGAUCCUCUGGGAGUGGGAGGGGCACUAGGCUGCCUAAGGAGGGGCCAAUCAGCCCACUUUGGAAACUGAACAGGUCAAAGCGUUCAUGCUGAUGAGUCGUGGGAUUGGGUCAAUGAGUAGCUAUUGCAUUUUCAGCCCGAGUGAGGUAGACAGACC